rnacentral:rRNA from 1 species
UACGUAGGGUGCAAGCGUUAAUCGGAAUUACUGGGCGUAAAGCGUGCGCAGGCGGUUUUGUAAGUCUGACGUGAAAUCCCCGGGCUCAACCUGGGAAUUGCGUUGGAGACUGCAAGGCUAGAAUCUGGCAGAGGGGGGUAGAAUUCCACGUGUAGCAGUGAAAUGCGUAGAGAUGUGGAGGAACACCGAUGGCGUAGGCAGCCCCCUGGGUCAAGAUUGACGCUCAUGCACGAAAGCGUGGGGAGCAAACAGG